UGGGGGAUUUUGCACAAUGGGCGCAAGCCUGAUGCAGCGACGCCGCGUGAGGGAUGAAGGCCUUCGGGUUGUAAACCCCUUUCGCUGGGUUGAAAGGCCAUGCUUUGGGUGUGGUUGAUUUGAACUGGUAAAGAAGUACCGGCUAACUACGUGCCAGCAGCCGCGGUAAUACGUAGGGUACUAGCGUUGUCCGGAUUUAUUGGGCGUAAAGGGCUUGUAGGUGGUUUGUCGCGUCUGUCGUGAAAUCCUUUGGCUUAACCAUGGGCUUGCGGUGGGUACGGGCAGGCUUGAGUGCGGUAGGGGAGACUGGAAUUCCUGGGGUAGCGGUGGAAUGCGCAGAUAUCAGGAGGAGCACCGGUGGCGAAGGCGGGUCUCUGGGCCGUUACUGACACUGAGGAGCGAAAGCGUGGGGAGCGAACAGG
rnacentral:rRNA from 1 species